AAGAAUAUAGUGAAGUCACUCAUGAAUUUGCAAAAUGGAGGUUCAAUUACUCCGUCAUACCCUUUGGCCAGAGGUAUGAAAAGUAAUCUCUUUGUUGUGAAUUACACGUUGGAGGUUGUGAGUAUUGUCAAUUUCAAUUUGAGAAUUUGAGUUGUUCACAUUGGACUGUAGUAUACAGUCUCCAGUCAUUUUGAGAAUCUUAAUUUUGAUUUCUAACAAGUCUCUGUUUUUCUGUAUCAAAACAGGUUUCGAUUGAACUCUUCUAAAACAGCAACUGGAGUAACCGAAUUGUUAAAUGAACUCUCCUGCAACAAUAAUCGAAACAAUCACUAGGCCUAUCAUUCUUUUGGAAAAUCUUAUCAAAAUAAAUGUUUUUGAAAUUUUAGAAAAACACGUACAUGUGAGGAUUAUUUGUUAUGUUUAGAGUUCAGGAAAAGGAAGGCCGCAGCAGAGCGCGACCGGGAUCUAUCUAGUAUCUAUUCUUUGAGAUGACGUCAGCACUGUUCACGAAGCACUGUUCCCGUGAGCAGUGCUGGGCCUCAGUGCUGGGUGUUGGUGUUGGACAAUGCUGGGCUUCGGUGAUGGACGACUUGGACCUGCAUCCCUUUCUUAAACUCUCUGGAGCCUCUUCUUUUUUAUCUCUCUAGAUUCUUCUCUCGAUCCCUCCCGCCGCUUUGCAUAUCUUUUUCUUUCUCUCUCUCGAUAUCGUCAAGACAGGGGUUCCUGUCAACCUGACCCGAAUUGCAUCGGAGAUCUAGAGGCGAGGGCCGCCGCUGAAGAAUGGGGAAUGAAGCUUUGUCCCUGAAAGAGAAAGCCGCGUCAGGUAGUUGGGCAUGACGAAUGAAGCUUUGUUAAUGAGCUUGGAGGAGGAUGAGAUGGAGAAAGGGGUCGAUUGUGAAGAGGAUGAGGUCUGAUUUGAUAUAUGUGCGAUCAGAUGAGUAGGUCGAUUGGCCAGGAACUGGGGUUGGUUGAGAAGAGGAGGUAUGAUUUGAUGAAAGGAUCUGAUCGGUGUACUUAUCUUAUCCAGCUCUAAUCAUAUGAACCAAACACAUGAAAACAUUAAAGCAAAUCUAAUCUUAUCCUAAUCUAAUCUUAUACUUAUCCUAAACCAUUUCCUAUCCUGGAUACCAAACACAGCCAGGUAGAUUAUCCAAGGAUUUCUCAUCCCCAAAUCGACUGGAUUUGUUUCGUUUUUAUUAUAUAUAGCUCUUGAUUUUGAUUUUUCUUUGUAUGGGUUUCAUAUCAUUUUUGUUUCAUUUCUGCUCAGGAACCCGAACCCUUUUGGGUUGCUUAUGGAUUUUCUUAUUGAUUGGUCAUUGAUGCUUAUUGGUGCAGGUAAGAGGUGAGAAAAAAGAGAGAAGAAAGUUGAUACAUGAAAGGGAGAUUAUUGACAACCAUUCAACUCUGCAGGUAUAUUUUCAGAUACAUUCUUGCAACUUUUCUUAUACUUCUGGAACAUUUAUGAUUUCUGUUUAUCGAUGAACUUAUGACAACCUUGGCCUUUGUUGUAUUUUCUAUCUAAAACAAGGGUUUAAGUUCUCCAACAUGAAUCAAGUCGCUCACAUUAGGGAAAGAGACAAUGUCUUAUGUGUUAAUCUAUUUUGUGAAGUCGAUACAGAAGCUUAAGUUAUUUUUGUUUUCUUUCUAAGUCGAAGAUAUGAGAUUGACAUUCCAUUCCAGGAAAUUCAUCUCACACAGUGAUGUCAAUUAAGGCGAGAAUCUAUGUGUUUGUUGCUUCUUUUAUCCAUGAUAUUCUAUGUAUCUUUUUUCAUACAUUGGUUUAUCUUUGUUCCUCUUCCACAUUAAUAUCAGUCCUCAAAACUUGCAUUUAGAAUCUCAUGUUCACCAUAAUAUAAAUUAGAUGGUUUAUUAUCCACUUAAUAAGUAUGAUACUGUUGUAUGUAACUAUUUGGCAAAUUCACAAUUUUUAUUCCUUUGAUCUAAAUAGAUUGAAUCUCUUUCAGUAUUACUAUCCUUCUCUUUGCUUUUAGUCAGCACUUAUCAUGCACCUCUGCAAAUCAAUCUGCCUAUAGAAAAAUCAGAAUAGUUAUGUAGGUGAAACUGCAAAGGUUGUUGUUAGAUUAAAGAAACAUAUAGUUGAGUAGAAACUGUUUGUUUUGCAUUUAGGAUAUGUAAAACAUGGUAGCUUCAAAGCUUUCUGAGGGGAGUUGAGUGCAGUCAUGUGCUAUUAGGAACUCUGCAAAGCCUGAAGACUCAGAGUUGAUAUGGAUAUGUGCCAUUAAAAAAUCAACAACCCAAACACUCAGUUAGUAAUUAGGAACUCUAAUCAAAUUUCAGAUUGCUACAAGUAGGGUGAUCGAUCAUUUGGAAUCAUGUAUUGCAGAUAUGGGAUAUGAGAUAGUUUUGGUUAUUGUAUUUGAUAGUUUUAAAUUCCAGUUAUCAAGUGAACAAAUUUCUUUGAUCACUGUCUUGCAGAGAUUAAUACAAUUUCUUUGACUCGGUUAGUAAUUUAUUUGACUCAGUUAGUAAUUUCCUAGGAUUGCUUGCUAUACUAGAGAUGGUGGAUGUAAGUAUCAGCUCAAUUGCUUAGAUAGUAUGCUGAAAAUUUGAAUAGCUGAAUUCAUUGUGCUAUUUGAAAGAGAUAAUGUUGCUUUAUAGUGUUCUUAUUAGUCAUUUCCUAAUAUAUUACUAUGUUUGAAGAAUGAAAAAUUGUUGGCUUAUAUCUGAGAACACAUGAUUAAUCUNNNNNNNNNNNNNNNNNNNNUUUUUUCCCUUUGCUAAUUAUAUGCAUGUUUGUCAGUGCUGGUGGAGGACUGCAUUUUUCCAUUCCCUUGACAUCUGCUUUAAAUUGGGAGCAUUGGAAUGUAAUUCUCUUACUGUAUUAUUUGAAUUGAGAUGAUUUGCUGGCAACGUCCUCUCUGAAUUAUGAAGUAAAUGGAUCCCUCCGAGAGUGAGAUGCUAAGGUAAACUUUCUUUCUUCACUAAAAAGUUAUUGUGCUGUCCUUCUUAACUUCUUGGCCACUCUGAUUUGACCUAUAAACUUAAUUAUUCUCUACAACAAGAAUAUAGUGAAGUCACUCAUGAAUUUGCAAAAUGGAGGUUCAAUUACUCCGUCAUACCCUUUGGCCAGAGGUAUGAAAAGUAAUCUCUUUGUUGUGAAAUACACGUUGGUGGUUGUGAGUAUUGUCAAUUUCAAUUUGAGAAUUUGAGUUGUUCACAUUGGACUGUAGUAUACAGUCUCCAGUCAUUUUGAGAAUCUUAAUUUUGAUUUCUAACAAGUCUCUGUUUUUCUGUAUCAAAACAGGUUUCGAUUGAACUCUUCUAAAACAGCAACUGGAGUAACCGAAUUGUUGAAUGAACUCUCCUGCAACAAUAAUCGAAACAGUCACUAGGCCUAUCAUUCUUUUGGAAAAUCUUAUCAAAAUAAAUGUUUUUGAAAUUUUAGAAAAACACGUACAUGUGAGGAUUAUUUGUUAUGUUUAGAGUUCAGGAAAAGGAAGGCCGCAGCAGAGCGCGGCCGGGAUCUAUCUAGUUGUAUACAUAAGGCAUAAAUCAUAUAUGAAGAUAUGAUAUUCCAGGUGGGCUAGGAUUUGUACAAUAAUGUACAAAGCAUAGUAAGGUUCGAAUCCUCCCUUUGCCAUGUUUUGGAUUUACUUCGUCAGGUGGGCUAGGAUUUCGUCAGGCCCAGCCCGAUUCCAGCUUUACUUGAAUGUACCGUCUGUACUCUGUAGAGCAAUUUCUGUUGGUACCCCUCUUUCCUUUUUCGGUAUAGCAAAACUUCCCUCGGAUAAAUUUAGGCAGUCUAAGUUGAAGAUAUUGUCACAGGUAGCUGAAGGCCUGGAAUAUCAUAUCUUCAGAUAUGAUUUAUGCCUUAUGUAUGGGUUAGCUCGGUUGACUUGUGAGUUUCCUGACCUUGUUUGUUGCAGCUGCUAGCAGUUUGCGUCCAUCCAAGUUUCUCCGCUACUUAGUAAAGAGGGAAGACGCUAAAGUUUGUUCUCGUUUUCUUUCCUCAUAAUACAAAUUUUAAACUCAAGCAUGUGGACAACUCGAUAUUGGGUGAUGUAGAAUUGUAGAUUGUAUAUUUGUACCACUCUGGCCAUGAUGCUGGACCUCGCAUGUCAAUUGAUUAAUUCCAUGCUCCAUGCUCUUUAGAAUAUGAGAACUAUUGAGAAUGCAACCCAAAAGAAUAUAAUUAUUAUGGGAUGUUAUCUUACUUGCAAUUCUUAUUUGGAGUUCUUUUUAUCUUGCAAUUCUUAUUGUUUAGCAGAAUUAAUAGAAGAAGUUUUACAGAAUACAG
rnacentral:lncRNA from 1 species